UUUGCAAUUCUCUUAAGAAAUUAAAAAAUGUCUAAGAGUCUUACAUUCAUCAUUUUGGCUUUGCUUGUAGUGGCAAACACUAAAAACAUGCUCAUUUCAGCCAGUAGAACUGGCCAAGGAUCUAAGCCAGAGGCUUUAUUUUCUAUUAACCCUGCAGCAUCACCUGACAUUGUUGAUUGCUCAGGGCUCACAAGUGAAGAGUGUUUAUCGAGACGAUUAAGAAAGCUCUUGUAGACUAUCGGUACCCCUGCUCUGAGGGGGGUGCAAAUGAUAUUGUUGAUAAGUUGUUUCUUUUACCUUGUAGGAGUGCUUUCGCAAUAACGAUCAAUUAUAGCGAAAUUGAAUUCGUGUUUUAAUAAAAG
rnacentral:lncRNA from 1 species